UACGGGGGGAGCAAGCGUUGCUCGGAUUUACUGGGCGUAAAGGGCGCGUAGGCGGUCAGCACAAGUCAGUUGUGAAAUCUCCGAGCUUAACUCGGAAAGGUCAACUGAUACUGUGCGACUAGAGUGCGGAAGGGGCAACUGGAAUUCUUGGUGUAGCGGUGAAAUGCGUAGAUAUCAAGAGGAACACCUGCGGCGAAGGCGGGUUGCUGGGCCGACACUGACGCUGAGGCGCGAAAGCCAGGGGAGCAAACGGG
rnacentral:rRNA from 1 species